rnacentral:rRNA from 1 species
UACGAAGGGGCUAGCGUUGCUCGGAAUUACUGGGCGUAAAGGGAGCGUAGGCGGACUAGUUAAGUCAGUGGUGAAAGCCCAGGGCUCAACCCUGGAAUUGCCUUUGAUACUGAUUGUCUUGAGUAUGGGAGAGGUAUGCGGAACUCCGAGUGUAGAGGUGAAAUUCGUAGAUAUUCGGAAGAACACCAGUGGCGAAGGCGGCAUACUGGCCCAUUACUGACGCUGAGGCUCG